rnacentral:rRNA from 1 species
ACGGGAGGCAGCAGUGAGGAAUAUUGGUCAAUGGACGGAAGUCUGAACCAGCCAAGUCGCGUGAAGGAAGACGGUUCUAUGGAUUGUAAACUUCUUUUGCCCGAGGGUAAAAGUGGUACGUGUACCACCUUGCAAGUAUCGGGUGAAUAAGCAUCGGCUAACUCCGUGCCAGCAGCCGCGGUAAUACGGAGGAUGCGAGCGUUAUCCGGAUUUAUUGGGUUUAAAGGGUGCGUAGGCGGGCUGUUAAGUCAGCGGUGAAAGUUUGCGGCUCAACCGUAAAAUUGCCGUUGAAACUGGCGGUCUUGAGUGUAAACGAGGUAGGCGGAAUGUGACGUGUAGCGGUGAAAUGCUUAGAUAUGUCACAGAACUCCGAUUGCGAAGGCAGCUUACCAGGAUACAACUGACGCUGAGGCACGAAAGCGUGGGGAGCAAACAGGAUUAGAUACCCUGGUA